rfam:Asian citrus Psyllid, Diaphorina citri - Florida Strain, whole genome shotgun sequence.
GCCUAGUUAGCUUAGUUGGUAUGCGUCUGCCUUGUAAGCGCUAGGCCGCAGGUUCGAUUCCCGCCCGGGGCG